GGGGCCAUAGCUCAGCUGGGAGAGCGACCGCCUUGCAAGCGGUAGGUCAGCGGUUCGAAUCCGCUUGGCUCCACCA
rnacentral:tRNA from 1 species